CCUUUAUCCUCUCCAUUUCACCCUUCAUGUCGAUCUGAAGAAACAGCUCUGCCAUUAAUCUCUUCUGCUACUGUUAAGAUAGAUGAAUCUACCCUAAUACCUAUUUCGACGGUAAUGAUGAAAACCUUACCCUUAUUUUUAUCGCCCAUAUACAGCUUCUCUUCCUCUUUACUCUCUUUCUCUUCUUCUACGAUCCAACUCCAACUCCACAUCCACAACCCAUAAUCCUUAUUCUUGAGCACCACUAGCACUAAUUCAACCGCCACUAGGACUAGCUUCUUCUUCUUCUUAGAACUCGAUCUCUUGUUGAAUCUCUUUAGUUGAAACCGUAUUUCUAUUUGUUAUCUAGGGUUUCAAUUAUGGAGAUGAGCAAGAGAUUACUUUGAUUGAUCUACAGGAGGAUUCAAAUUGAAAAACACAUGUAACAAACCAUUUCCCAAUUUAAAGUCGUUCUUAAUCAGUUGAUAGAAGACUUUCAGGUUCAGUGGCUUCAAUUUUAAUUUCAGAUGCAGGAACUCCCAUAGGUAUUUCAAUUUGUGAACCUUAUCCCUUUGCCUUAGGAAACUAUAGAGUUUUUGAUGUUGAGAUUUCUGCGGAAGUAUAGCUACUCUCAUGCCUUCAGGGACGUAAUGUUAUAAGAGAACAAAGCUUUGGUGCACCUAAAGUGACUAAAGAUGGUAUCACCGUUGCUGGAAGCAUUGAGUUUAAGGAUAGAGUUAAGAACAUUGGUGCCAGCCUUGUAAAGCAAGUAGCAAAUGCCACCAACAAUAUAGCUGGUGAUGGUCUAUUGUGACAUUCAUUACAUCAUUUGUCAAUGUCUCUGUUGGUACUUAAGAGUAUAGUUCUGACUUUGUACCAAUUGAUGAAGGAAACUACACUAUUGAAACUCAGAAGCUGAAAUGGAAAACAACAUCAGAAAAAACCAGUUCACAAAUAUUGUGGCUGGUGUCGUUGGUGGAUGACCUGCUCUUUUAAGUCAAUUUACAAAGGCAAAACAGGGAUUGUGGAUUACAAAAACUAUGAUGAGAUGAAGUAUGUUGUAAGUACAGGAUCAAAUGCUUACAAUGACUAUGUAGGCAAUGAAGUUGAUGCUCAAUUAGCCUCGAGGAGGUCAACAUUGAUGGAGCUAGUUCAGAUGGAAUGCCAACUCCAAGGUACUAUAUUUUCAAAGUAUGGUGGUGCAUCCUUUGGUGGCACUACUUAGCUUGUGUGCAUUAUAGCUGAAGUAUGUUCAACACUCAUUUAACUUUCAGCUUUCAAGGUUUUUCGUACCUUGUCCUUAAUAUUGUAUGUAUCCUCACCUAGAUCACUUCAUUUUAUCAUUUUCCAGCCGAGGAUGGUUACAACUGAUCUUCUUAUGUGUAGGGCCAUGAUGAAGUAGGUCGAAUACAGAACUUUCUCCACUUGAUCUUUCUCAGAGGAUCUUAAUCUUGAGACUGACCCAUAUCCUCUAUUGCAGGCUAAGUUUUUCAUUAACAUCCUUGCAGAACCAACUGAAGUGGUAGGAUUUUAGCACCACCUCUCUAAACAAUAUUGAAGUUAAUAUGUCAAAAUGUGUUCAUAAAUAGGUUUUGUCCUUAAUAUCUUUUUGGUUCAUCUUUCUAGAAUGCAGCGUACAUACCAUAAGAUACCACAGUUGAUACUUAAAUCAUACACUAGUCAUCCAUUCAAAUUCUGAUACUUGGAUGUUGUGUGCAUUUAUUUCAUUUUGUUGGCUUAGGGAUAACAGAUACACAAGUUUGUCGGAUAGUCUGGUGGUGGACGACACCAGGCACUUGUCACCUUUAAAUGGCUCAUUUUUCUCUUGAAAAAUCAUUUAUGACUUUACCUUUAUACAAACUAGCAAACAUAUGUCUCUCUUUCUGUAUGUAUGUGAUCAUCAGUGGAAGUAAUUUCUGUUAUGUUCUUUACUGGUCUCCUGCAGGUUAUGGAAUGUUCUUUUCCCAACAUCAGAUCCAUCCCUACCUACGAAGCCCACUUACAUUUAUUUCCUCAUUGGUUUAAAAGCAUGCUCCCAGAUAUCUCAGUUAAGCACGUUUUGUGUUGUUAUAUUAUGUUUGAUUACAACACCAACUUAUGCAGUUUUCUUAUAUUUCAAUACUUGUUAGUUAUUAUGUAAAGGUUUUAUGUUGGAGAUGGCAAAGAAGCAAGUCUCUAAAGGUGCCGAAGGAGCACACUUCAACAUCAGUGCAUUAAAUAUCUUGGACGAUAAUUUUUUCGCUGCCAUUUGACAUGCAAUUAAAUUCACAUAGUUGGCCUUCUGUUAGAGUCUACAUUGUAAUCGUAUUUCCGACAUGUUUAUGAUCUGAAGACCUGGUCGUUUAGGACAUGUACCUGAUCAUCAUAUACAACAAAAUACACAUAUAACUGCAGUGAUUAAAUUGCAAACUGUCAAGUUGUUCUAAGGUUUUAUGCUCAGCUUCCUCAUAAUGUACUAUUCUGAUACAGAACCAUUUUUUCUACUUAUCCAUUCAUAAGACUCAUAUAAUAGACUAUACUAUGUUCUGUGGCCACUGCCAACCAUAAUGAUAAAAACCCAUUCUUGUUGCGUUUAAAGAAUAUGUGCAAGGAGGGUGCUAAUUGGAACAAGUCUGUGUACAUCUGCAGAUGAUUUAUGCAGAGUUAUUCCUUAGACAUAAUUUGUCAUGAUCUUACAUGCAUUACUUUAUCAUCAGUAGAAAUGCAUAAAUGCACAAGUUGAUCGACUGAUAUUGCACUUUGCAGGCUGUAGAUGAGAGUUUAUUGGAAUGGAGGGGGUCCGUGGUACCAGUGAUUGGUCAAGUGAUACACUUAUUCAAGUCCCUAUUUUUUUUAGGUAAUAGAUGAAGUGACUUGUGUGUCUGAAUAUGUAAUUUCUUCCACCGCCAAAAUCUUGCAUGAUUUAUGUCCAUUUUUUGUUUUAGAAUGAAGCUGUUCUGUUCGCUUUUA